UGCCCCAUGGCUGAGUUGUUACAGCGUCCGACUGUUAUGCUCGAGCAAUCGGAAGGUCGUGAGUUCGAGCCUCACUGGGGCAG
rnacentral:tRNA from 1 species